rnacentral:rRNA from 1 species
UCGAACGGUAGCAGGAAGUGCUUGCACUUUGCUGACGAGUGGCGGACGGNUGAGUAAUGCUUGGGAACUUGCCUUUGCGAGGGGGAUAACAGUUGGAAACGACUGCUAAUACCGCAUAAUGUCUACGGACCAAACGGGGCUUAGGCUUCGGCGCAGAGAGAGGCCCAAGUGAGAUUAGCUAGUUGGUGGGGUAAAGGCUCACCAAGGCGACGAUCUCUAGCUGUUCUGAGAGGAAGAUCAGCCACACUGGGACUGAGACACGGCCCAGACUCCUACGGGAGGCAGCAGUGGGGAAUAUUGCACAAUGGGGGGAACCCUGAUGCAGCCAUGCCGCGUGUGUGAAGAAGGCCUUCGGGUUGUAAAGCACUUUCAGUUGUGAGGAAAAGUGAGUAGUUAAUACCUGCUCACCGUGACGUUAACAACAGAAGAAGCACCGGCUAACUCCGUGCCAGCAGCCGCGGUAAUACGGAGGGUGCGAGCGUUAAUCGGAAUUACUGGGCGUAAAGCGCACGCAGGCGGUUUGUUAAGCUAGAUGUGAAAGCCCCGAGCUCAACUUGGGAUGGUCAUUUAGAACUGGCAGACUAGAGUCUUGGAGAGGGGAGUGGAAUUCCAGGUGUAGCGGUGAAAUGCGUAGAUAUCUGGAGGAACAUCAGUGGCGAAGGCGACUCCCUGGCCAAAGACUGACGCUCAUGUGCGAAAGUGUGGGUAGCGAACAGGAUUAGAUACCCUGGUAGUCCACACCGUAAACGCUGUCUACUAGCUGUUUGUGGCUUUAAGCCGUGAGUAGCGAAGCUAACGCGAUAAGUAGACCGCCUGGGGAGUACGG